rnacentral:tRNA from 1 species
AGUAGAGUCAGCUAACAAAGCUAUUGG